rnacentral:misc_RNA from 1 species
CGAGGCGGACGCAACGAUCCUCCCCCUUCCCCUUAUGAGCAUCGAAGUCGAAGAGGAAGAAUACAAGAGCGAAGGUGGACAGGGAGCAGAGACAGAGCACGCGGAAGACAAAAAGAAGGAGCCAUGGAACGAAAGGGAGCGAGGGUAAAGAGGACGAUCAAGGGGACGAGAUUAAACGAGGGACAGAGACGGAAAUUGAGGCAUAAAGCUUGAGGAGUAGCGAUGGACUCGAUUCGUCCAGAGAAUACAGAAUCACAGAGUUCAAACGUCGCAUUUAGAAGUCAGAAACUAAAACUGAAUUCGCGUGAUUCAGUCAUCGUAUCUACGAUCCUUUCUCGGAGUUCUUUAGAAAUUUUAACAUAACCAGAGAGGAAGAUCCGUCCAAGUACAUACUUAUCUUCGAGAUCACUGCCCGAAUUUCUCAAAUUCAUUAAGAUUAUUAAGACUUCGAAGAAGACGGUUCGGCGGUUGGAGUUCGAGCAGCGAGACACGGAGGAUUGUAACAGAAGACAUCGGGGAGGCAGUAACGGGAGCAAGCAGGAAGAGACAACGUGGGGAAGACAACUGCGAGUAGACAAACGAGGAAAGGAGAGAAUCGAAGGGAAGUGGAAG